UCUAUAUUGCACACCCUUUAGUUUGUCCAUUUUCAUCUCACUCGUUUUUACAUACAUUUUUUAAACUUUCAAAUUUCAAUAGAUCAUUCAUCAUGUGACCUACUGGACUCAAACAAGGUUCAGAAUGUCCACUGAAUACUGGACUCUGAGGGUGGUGACCCUGGUACAGAUAUGCUUAUUCUGAGCCGGGGCACGGUUCAAAACAUGCCCACGUCAGGGGAGAUUUAGGCAAUCCCUAGCUGCUGGGCUGCUCAGUCCUGGCCCUGGUGGUCUGCUGUACUUUUGUCACUCUAGCCUAAAUCUGAGUGGGGUGUAUUGGGUUGGGGCACUACAGGGCUAGUAUUUAAGGCCCUCCCCCAACAGCCUUAAAGACCCGGCCAGGGUUAGUAUUACAUGUGGUAUCAGUAAUGAUAAAAAUAACCAGUUAUUAGAUUUUUAUAGAGUGUAACAGUGCUUGUUGUCUCUUGUUUGUUUGUUUGUUAUUAAAGUCCACUUGGUCGAGCAUUUUUGGGGCAGCGAUCGGUGCCCCCAGGCAAACUGCAGUCGACGGUGAAGAAGAUCUUGGCCCCGAAGUCUGCAGUUCCAAGGCUGUCUGCUUCCCGAACAGCUCUGCGAUCAGCUCUGCAAUCCGCAGAGACUUCACAUGCAGAGCUGGUCGUUAUGGCCGUAGAAGUUGAAAAGUACAAAGGAAGGUACAUUGGGUAAGGUAGAUUUGGAUUAAAUUCCUGGGUCACCCUGCGCAUCACUGCCAGUUUCCAGCGUUUCUGACCUACAGGUGUUCUUGUGACCUGGCGGUUGUGCGCACUUUGGGGAACAGCGUCACUCAGCUAUGCACCAAGCUGUCUGAGGGCCACAGCGAAGCCUGGAUGCGGUGGUCUAAACAGUACCUCGGCGAGUGCAAGCACUUCCUUGCCUCGUGCACCAUCCGGCCACAGUUCCCACCAAUACCAGAAAUGCCGGUGGUGCCCUCACCCGUCUGGCUGCUGACAGUGUACAGCAUGGAUGUGCUGUUGUGGCUUGACGAGGUGACCAAGAAGCUCGCCCGUUACGCUUCGGACACGGGUGCUUGGGCCACAAAUUGUGGGGAAUGAACACAGGCAUGUCCUCACUGCUGGUGAGGGCGAGGGCCUGCUAGCCAUGGUGGCCGGCCUUAUGAAGCGGUACCGACUCGCUGGGAUACCAGCCCCCCAGCUCAUGUACGUGGACCGGGACUGUUGCUCCAAGAUGGUUGCCAUGUUUGGGCUCCCGAGUGGAGCAGCAGUCUAAGGCACUGCAUCUCAGUGCUAGAGGCAUCAUUACAGACACCCUGAUUCGAAUCUAGGCUGUAUCACAACUGGCCGUAAUUGGGAGUCCCAUAGGGUGGCACACAAUUGGCCCAGCGUCGUCUGGGUUUUGAGUCUCAUAGCAAAGGGUCUGGAUACUUAUGUAAAUGUGA
rnacentral:lncRNA from 1 species